CCUACGGGUGGCAGCAGUGAGGGAUAUUGGUCAAUGGGGGAAACCCUGAACCAGCAAAGCCGCGUGAGGGAAGACGGCCUUCGGAGUGUAAACCUCUGUCCUCUGGGAAGAAAAUGACGGUAGCUGAGGCGGAAGCUCCGGCUAAAUACGGGCCAGCAGCCGCAGUAAUACGUAGGGAGCAAGCGUUGUCCGGAUUUACUGGGUGUAAAGGGUGCGUAGGCGGCUCUGCAAGUCAGAAGUGAAAUCCAUGGGGUUAACCCGCGAACUGCUGUUGAAACUGUAGGGCUUGAGUGAAGUAGAGGUAGGCGGAAUGCGCGGUGUAGCGGUGAAAUGCGUAGAGAUCGCGAGGAACACCAGUUGCGAAGGCAGCCUACUGGG
rnacentral:rRNA from 1 species